rnacentral:pre_miRNA from 1 species
UAGUCAUGUUCUGAUAAUUGACACGUGUCAUAUUCUGAUUGACGAAUGACAACAACAAUCCAUUUCAUCUUCAAUGGAUUCAAUAUUCAAUCAGAACAUGACGCGUAUUCAAUAAGAACAUGACACGUGAUAAUCAACAUUC